rnacentral:rRNA from 1 species
GUGAGUGAUGAAGGCCUUCGGGUUGUAAAGCUCUGUGGGGUGAGACGAAUAAGUGCAGCCUAAUACGCUUCAUGAUGACGGUAUCGCCUUAGCAAGCACCGGCUAACUCUGUGCCAGCAGCCGCGGUAAGACAGAGGGUGCAAACGUUGUUCGGAAUUACUGGGCGUAAAGCGAGUGUAGGCGGUCUGAAAAGUCGGAUGUGAAAGCCCCGGGCUCAACCCGGGAAGUGCACUCGAAACUGCCAGGCUAGAGUAUCGGAGAGGUUGGUGGAAUUCUCGGUGUAGAGGUGAAAUUCGUAGAUAUCGAGAGGAACACCGGCGGCGAAGGCGGCCAACUGGACGAAUACUGACGCUGAGACUCGAAAGCGUGGGGAGCAAACAGGAUUAGAUACCCUGGUAGUCCACGCCGUAAACGAUGGGUGCUAGGUGUCGCGGGCUUUGACUCCCGCGGUGCCGUAGCUAACGCAUUAAGCACCCCGCCUGGGAAGUACGGCCGCAAGGACUA